rnacentral:rRNA from 1 species
GACCUCUAAUCGGAAAAGACUACACGCCGAGUUUAA